rnacentral:rRNA from 1 species
UACGUAGGGAGCAAGCGUUGUCCGGAAUCAUUGGGCGUAAAGCGCGCGUAGGUGGCUUCGUAAGUCCGUUGUGAAAGUCAAAGGCUCAACCUUUGAAAGCCGAUGGAUACUGUGAAGCUAGAGUACGGAAGAGGCGAGUGGAAUUCCUGGUGUAGCGGUGGAAUGCGCAGAUAUCAGGAGGAACACCGGUGGCGAAGGCGGUUCUCUGGGCAUUACCUGACGCUGAGGAGCGAAAGUGUGGGGAGCGAACAGG